rnacentral:lncRNA from 1 species
UUUUAUCCUUAACGAUGCUCUACCAGUUUAUAGUAUCAUUUUCAAAUUCUUAAUUUAUUAAUUUUUACCUAACCUCACCUAAGUACAUCCUUAAGGAAAGGAUUGUAAGGAUUGUAAGACAUGGCAGUAUAAGGAGACUCAUUGCAGUUUGGAGAAAUGAAUCACAGCGUUGCUGAUUUAAUUUGAAAAUCCUAUUAUAAUGAUAGGGUUAUUACACAAAUAUGUACCAAUUAUCAGGAUGUCUGCAUGUUGGAAUUGUUAAAUCUCGGCUGAUAUUUUAUAAUAUGAAUACCAUGAAAAUCUGAUAAUUGUGUUGAGGAGUGAUACAGAAAGUGGGAACACUGAUAAAAAUGAAUAUUGUCCCUUACAUAUCAUAUUUAACUUGUUAUCUCCUGCAAAAUGUAUUACUCCUUGAGACGAGGUUUCCAUAUAUAUAUGUAUUAGUGCAAUAUCCCAGUUUUAUACAUCAAGUUCAAUAUGGCGUGCCACAUAACCAGUUUCUUUUUUUUUUAACAUCCUUUUUCACACAUAGAUCUGAAGAAGCUUGACAAAAAUUCAGUCUCAACCUGAAAUUGACGCUUUAUCCUGGUUUUCAAUUAUUUUUCCUGAAUAUGUUCCUAUGGAAGUAAAGGUAAAUCCCUUGUGUGAAUUGUAUUUUUUUCCAUAUAUUUAUAUUGCAUGAUGAUUUUGUUGAUAAUGUCUAAAAUUUUAGUAACCUGAACUGGUUUUGUGGAUGGAACUGUACAUUAAAUCAAAAUUUUUGAUGAACAAAAACAUGUAGUAACAAAAUGUAGUCUUAAUUUUUUUUCUUGAAAUAGGGAAAUGAAUGAAAUUGUGAUAAUGCAAUCAAUUAGUAUGAUGAAUAUCUAUAAUUUUCUAGGUAUACUAUUUUUAUUUGCUUCAGUAAAAGAUCAUGGCAGUGAAAAUACUGCAAACCAACUAAUUUUCAGGAGCUUAGUAGAUAAAAAAAAAAAUAUGUGAAAAUAGAUCAUUGUGAAUAUGUAAAACUUGGAUCUUUCCUCAAUUGACUACUGGUAAAUUAAGUUUACAUGUACUUGAAAAAUCAUGAAAUGGGAUUGAAAGGGCUAAACACAUAAUAAAGUAUAAAGUAAUAAAAUAAGUUGGUUACAGUAAAGUUAUAUACUUCUGUGACAACAUGCCCAAUUUCAUAACAACUCAUACUUGAUUUACUUUUGCUGUUUUUCAUUUGUUAUACAUGAUGAUGUACUACAUUAUAUUUGAAAACCUGUGGAGAGGUUUGUUCAGUUAAGAAUGUUAUAAAAUUAAGAUUUUGGAAUUAUAAAAUAUCUCAAAUUUUCAAAUCUGACACUGUCAUUUAUAUCAAUAUUAACUGUAACAGCUAUAUUAUGACUGAUGGAGGGAUAUUCCAUGAAAGAACAAUGUGAUUAAAAAAACAAAUCCUAAAUAAACUGUUCUAUAGUAAUCUGAGUUUUUAUUUAUAUCAUAUAUGUAUUGAUCAAGAAUCCUAAUGGUUUACUUUGGGACUUUCUACUUACAGGUUUAAGGGCCCUUGGUGGCCAAGUCAAG